rnacentral:rRNA from 1 species
ACGGAAGGCAGCAGUAGGGAAUCUUCGGCAAUGGGGGCAACCCUGACCGAGCAACGCCGCGUGAGUGAAGGAGGUUUUCGGAUCGUAAAGCUCUGUUGUAAGAGAAGAACGUGUGUGAGAGUGGAAAGUUCACACAGUGACGGUAACUUACCAGAAAGGGACGGCUAACUACGUGCCAGCAGCCGCGGUAAUACGUAGGUCCCGAGCGUUGUCCGGAUUUAUUGGGCGUAAAGCGAGCGCAGGCGGUUUAAUAAGUCUGAAGUUAAAGGUAGUGGCUUAACCAUUGUUCGCUUUGGAAACUGUUAGACUUGAGUGCAGAAGGGGAGAGUGGAAUUCCAUGUGUAGCGGUGAGAUGCGUAGAUAUAUGGAGGAACACCGGUGGCGAAAGCGGCUCCCUGGUCUGUAACUGACGCUGAGGCUCGAAAGCGUGGGGAGCAAACAGGAUUAGAUACCCUGGUA